CUACACAUUUGGGUAUUUGGAGUUUCAGUAUACUAGACACACGUACUUAAAUUUUUAUGCUUAUCAUCACUGCGUUGAUGGCACACAGUAAUCUUUUUUUCGUGGUUUAGGUGCCAUCUGUUGCCAAAACACUUAGUGUUCAGUCUUUAGUGAAAAAUAUAAAGUGCCAAGAAAUCUUGCAAGACAGAAUCCAUACAUACACUCUUUCCAAAACACUGUGACCAUGUAUAGUAGACGUUUUUAUUUCCUGAUGACCAAAUCUCUCAGUGAAUCAUGUUAAAUAUUUUAGUGCUCCUCAGUUUUCUCUUUUAUGACCCUCUCCUUGGAGUACACAGGAGGAAAGAGAGGAAUGCGGCAGACUCCUGGCUCUCUGCCGAGCCAGAGCAAGUGACCUGUAGCCCAGGGUCCCUUCCACACGGAUCUCCGUGGCUGUGCUAAUAUUUGAUAAUGACCUCAAAUUACGGCUGUAUUUUAUGCAUAGAAAUACCACUAGAUUUUGCUUCAGAGUUAGCAUUCAAAAGAAACUCUAAGUACAGUAAGUGCUCUUAUUAUCCUUUACGUACACAACUCACCAGAUCCCUUCAUGGUUUCCAACGUCAUGUAAGCUGACUGCCACCCAGCGCCACGGGGGGCUGCUCCCCGCUGCUCUGUUCUCACAGGCCUCAGCUCCCUCCUUGGAGUUCUCUG
rnacentral:lncRNA from 1 species